UACGUAGGGGGCGAGCGUUGUCCGGAUUUACUGGGCGUAAAGCGCGUGUAGGUGGGGAAGCAAGUCCGGUGGGAAAGCCCGCGGCUCAACCGCGGAAGUUCGCUGGAAACUGCUACUCUUGAGGGUGAUAGAGGGAAGUGGAAUUGCUGGUGUAGCGGUGAAAUGCGUAGAUAUCAGGAAGAACACCCGUGGCGAAAGCGGCUCUCUGGAACGGUACUGACGCUGAGACGCGAAAGCGUGGGGAGCGAACAGG
rnacentral:rRNA from 1 species